GCCUUGAUAAUGAAAUGGUAGACACACAAGACCCAAAAUCUCAUGCUAAAGAGAGUGGAGGUUCGAGUCCUCUUCAAAGCA
rnacentral:tRNA from 1 species